GACGAACGCUGGCGGCGUGCUUAACACAUGCAAGUCGAACGGUGAAGGGGUCUGCUUUUGUGGGCCCUGGAUGAGUGGCGAACGGGUGAGUAACACGUGAGUAACCUGCCCCCUUCUUCUGGAUAACCGCAUGAAAGUGUGGCUAAUACGGGAUAUUCUGGGUCUGUCGCAUGAUGGGUCUGGGAAAGAUUGCGCCUUUGGGUGUUUUUGGUGGGGGAUGGGCUCGCGGCCUAUCAGCUUGUUGGUGGGGUGAUGGCCUACCAAGGCGGUGACGGGUAGCCGGCCUGAGAGGGUGGACGAUCACACUGGGACUGAGACACGGCCCAGACACAUACGGGAGGAAGCAGUGGGGAAUAUUGCAGAAGGGGCGAAAGACUGAUGCAGCGACGCCGAGUGAGGGAGGGAGGCAUUCGGGAUAUAAACCUCUUUCGCCAGUGAAGCAGGCAAGCUCCUUGUGAGUGGGUUGACGGUAGCUGGAUAAGAAACGCCGGCUAACUAAGUG
rnacentral:rRNA from 1 species